rnacentral:rRNA from 1 species
UACGUAGGGUGCGAGCGUUGUCCGGAAUUACUGGGCGUAAAGCGUGCGCAGGCGGCUUUGCAAGACAGAUGUGAAAUCCCCGGGCUCAACCUGGGAACUGCAUUUGUGACUGCAAGGCUAGAGUACGGUAGAGGGGGAUGGAAUUCCGCGUGUAGCAGUGAAAUGCGUAGAUAUGCGGAGGAACACCGAUGGCGAAGGCAAUCCCCCUGGACCUGUACUGACGCUCCAUGCACGAAAGCGUGGGGAGCAAACAGG